rnacentral:rRNA from 1 species
CAAUAGCGUAUAUUAAAGUUGCUGCAGUUAAAAAGCUCGUAGUUGGAUUUGUGGUGUGUCCAGUCGGCCUUUGCUCUCUGAGUGAUUGUGCUGUACUGGUCUGCCAUGUUUGGGUGGAAUCUGUGUGGCAUUAAGUUGUCGUGCAGGGGAUGCCCAUCGUUUACUGUGAAAAAAUUAGAGUGUUCAAAGCAGGCUUAUGCCGUUGAAUAUAUUAGCAUGGAAUAAUGAUAUAGGACCUUGGUACUAUUUUGUUGGUUUGCGCACUAAGGUAAUGAUUAAGAGGGACAGUUGGGGGUAUUUGUAUUCCAUUGUCAGAGGUGAAAUUCUUAGAUUUUUGGAAGACAAACUACUGCGAAAGCAUUUACCAAGGAUGUUUUCAUUAA